GAUAAACGCUUGCGGUGUACAUAAGACAUGCAAGUCGAACGGGAGAAACUAAGAUGGAUUUAUUCAACUUAGCAGACACCGUGGCGGAUGGGUGAGUAACACGUAAGCAACCUGCCUAAAAGAGGGGAAUAACAGAGAGAAAUUUCUGAUAAUACCGCAUAUACCAAAGUAUCGCAUGGUACAAUUGGGAAAGAUUUAUCACUUUUAGAUGGGCUUGCGUCUGAUUAGCUAGUUGGUGAGAUAAUAGCUCACCAAGGCGACGAUCAGUAGCCGGAUUGAGAGGUUGAACGGCCACAUUGGGACUGAGACACGGCCCAGACUCCUACGGGAGGCAGCAGUCGGGAAUAUUGCACAAUGGAGGAAACUCUGAUGCAGUGACACCGCGUAUAGGAAGAAGGCCUUAGGGUUGUAAGCUAUUGUCGUGUGAGAAGAAAAUGACUAUCACAGGAGGAAGCCCUGGCUAAAUAUGUGCCAGCAGCCGCGGUAAUACAUAUGGGGCGAGCGUUAUCCGGAUUUAUUGGGUGUAAAGGGUUCGUAGGCGGGAAAGUAAGUCAGUAUGUGAAAUCCCUCGGCUCAACCGAGGAACUGCGAUUGAAACUAUUUUUCUUGAGUACUGGAGGGGAAAGUGGAAUUCUUAGUGUAGCGGUGAAAUGCGUAGAUAUUAGGAAGAACACCAGUGGCGAAGGCGACUUUCUGGACAGUAACUGACGCUGAGGAACGAAAGUGUGGGGAGCGAACAGGAUUAGAUACCCUGGUAGUCCACACUGUAAACGAUGGAUACUAGGGGUUGGCAUAGGAAAUGUCGGUCCCGCAGUUAACGCAUUAAGUAUCCCACCUGGGGAGUACGACCGCAAGGUUAAAACUCAAAGGAAUUGACGGGGGCCCGCACAAGCAGUGGGGUAUGUGGUUUAAUUCGACGCAACGCGAAGAACCUUACCAGGGCUUGACAUGAUUAGGAAUAUAUAAGAGAUUAUAUAGCUCUGCGGAGUCUAAUUACAGGUGGUGCAUGGUUGUCGUCAGCUCGUGUCGUGAGAUGUUGGGUUAAGUCCCUAAACGAGCGCAACCCUUAUCACUAGUUGCUAACAUUAAGUUGAGGACUCUAGUGAGACUGCCGUUUAUUAAAACGGAGGAAGGAGAGGAUGACGUCAAAUCAUCAUGCCCUUUAUGUCCUGGGCUACACACGUACUACAAUGGGUAGGACAAAGGGAAGCAACGGAGUGAUCCUGAGCAAAACCCAAAACCUAUUCACAGUUCGGAUUGAAGGCUGAAAUUCGCCUUCAUGAAGCCGGAAUUGCUAGUAAUGGCAGGUCAGCAUACUGCCGUGAAUACGUUCCCGGGCCU
rnacentral:rRNA from 1 species